AUGAACGCUAGCGACAGGCUUAACACAUGCAAGUCGAGGGGCAGCACAGGUAGCAAUACCGGGUGGCGACCGGCGCACGGGUGAGUAACGCGUAUGCAACUUACCUAUCAGAGGGGGAUAACCCGGCGAAAGUCGGACUAAUACCGCAUGAAGCAGGGGCCCCGCAUGGGGAUAUUUGCUAAAGAUUCAUCGCUGAUAGAUAGGCAUGCGUUCCAUUAGGCAGUUGGCGGGGUAACGGCCCACCAAACCGACGAUGGAUAGGGGUUCUGAGAGGAAGGUCCCCCACAUUGGUACUGAGACACGGACCAAACUCCUACGGGAGGCAGCAGUGAGGAAUAUUGGUCAAUGGCCGAGAGGCUGAACCAGCCAAGUCGCGUGAGGGAUGAAGGUUCUAUGGAUCGUAAACCUCUUUUAUAAGGGAAUAAAGUGCGGGACGUGUCCCGUUUUGUAUGUACCUUAUGAAUAAGGAUCGGCUAACUCCGUGCCAGCAGCCGCGGUAAUACGGAGGAUCCGAGCGUUAUCCGGAUUUAUUGGGUUUAAAGGGUGCGUAGGCGGCCUUUUAAGUCAGCGGUGAAAGUCUGUGGCUCAACCAUAGAAUUGCCGUUGAAACUGGGGGGCUUGAGUAUGUUUGAGGCAGGCGGAAUGCGUGGUGUAGCGGUGAAAUGCAUAGAUAUCACGCAGAACCCCGAUUGCGAAGGCAGCCUGCCAAGCCAUGACUGACGCUGAUGCACGAAAGCGUGGGGAUCAAACAGGAUUAGAUACCCUGGUAGUCCACGCAGUAAACGAUGAUCACUAGCUGUUUGCGAUACACUGUAAGCGGCACAGCGAAAGCGUUAAGUGAUCCACCUGGGGAGUACGCCGGCAACGGUGAAACUCAAAGGAAUUGACGGGGGCCCGCACAAGCGGUGGAGCAUGUGGUUUAAUUCGAAGCAACGCGAAGAACCUUACCAGGUCUUGACAUCCCGAUGCUAUUUCUAGAGAUAGAAAGUUACUUCGGUACAUCGGUGACAGGUGGUGCAUGGUUGUCGUCAGCUCGUGCCGUGAGGUGUCGGCUUAAGUGCCAUAACGAGCGCAACCCUUGCCACUAGUUACUAACAGGUAAAGCUGAGGACUCUGGUGGGACUGCCAGCGUAAGCUGCGAGGAAGGCGGGGAUGACGUCAAAUCAGCACGGCCCUUACAUCCGGGGCGACACACGUGUUACAAUGGCGUGGACAAAGGGAGGCCACCUGGUGACAGGGAGCGAAUCCCCAAACCACGUCUCAGUUCGGAUCGGAGUCUGCAACCCGACUCCGUGAAGCUGGAUUCGCUAGUAAUCGCGCAUCAGCCAUGGCGCGGUGAAUACGUUCCCGGGCCUUGUACACACCGCCCGUCAAGCCAUGGGAGCCGGGGGUACCUGAAGUCCGUAACCGAAAGGAUCGGCCUAGGGUAAAACUGGUGACUGGGGCU
rnacentral:rRNA from 1 species